rnacentral:rRNA from 1 species
UACGUAGGGGGCAAGCGUUGUCCGGAUUUAUUGGGCGUAAAGAGCUCGUAGGCGGCUCGGUAAGUCGGAUGUGAAACCUCCAGGCUCAACCUGGAGACGCCAUCUGAUACUGCCGUGGCUUGAGUCCGGUAGAGGAGCAGGGAAUUCCUGGUGUAGCGGUGAAAUGCGCAGAUAUAGGAAGGAACACCAGUGGCGAAGGCGACCACCUGGACUGAUACUGACACUGAGGUGCGAAAGCGUGGGGAGCAAACAGG